AUGGAAGAUCCUGAUGCUCUUCCGCAGAAGGCGGAUCUGAGAAGAGAUGGAGUAAAUCAAGUCUCGCAGCUUUCCUCUCGGGUUGUGAGGUCAGAUCCCGGGAUUGAACUCAACAUGCAAGCGUUGUCGAUCAAUGAGCCGGAGGUAGUUCAUAUUCAGGCUGAGCAGUACAGGCAAGAAGAGGGUCAGGAUGCAGAGUUCAAUAUUCUGAUGAAGCUUGCAUCUACAAGAGGUCCUAUCAGGGUUCUUUCCCUUCAGGCUGUGCGGCAAUCUAUGGCUAGAGCAUGGAAGGAUAACUAUUAUGGUAUAUCACAAUUAUCAAGGUACAUCUUUGUGGCUCAUUUUCAUUCUUUGGAUGCUGUUAUGUUUGUCAUUACUCGUCAGCCUUGGAGCAUGGGUUCAGACAAUUUCUUGCUUGAAUGGAUGGAUCCAGAGGAGCAAAAUAGGAAUAUUCAGGACUAUAAGUUUGACACUAUCUACGUGACUAUUCGGAUUUAUGGUAUUCCCAUGAGAUUUAGAACUCAAGCUCUACUUGCAAACAUCUUGCAAAGUGUUGGCCAGAUCUAA
rnacentral:rRNA from 1 species